CUGGCCCUGGCCCAUCACCUGUGCCAGCAAUAAGGCCAAAUGCCUCCUGCACUGGGGCCUCCAUCCUUCUCUCAGAUCUGCCAACACUGGGCUCUUCGGGAGUUCCCACGUUGUGGAAUGUUGAACUCUGAAGCUCUCUUGAUAAGAGCUAGUUCAGGCGCCCCAGCACUUUCCACUUGCUCAUCUCCCAGAUACUACGGCCACCUCCUUGUGCCAGACACUGAGCAGAAGCAGCAGCGGAGCAAAGUGCGGCUCUGCGAGAACAGAUGGGAACGUGAAACCAGUAACCACAACGCUCUGAAGAAGUGACUUCCCCAGGAAGAGGGCCUUUGGGUGUGUCUUUCCAACCCAGCGAAGGUGCCUGUCCCUUCUGGGGGUAUCAAAACCACUCUCCAGGACACCCCAAAAGCACUUCCCUCCUGCGCCUACAAGAAAACAGGGAGGCCAUGCAGCCUGCCAUGAGGAGCAUUCGCGAUGGGAGAGCCUGUUUUCCUGCAGCCAAAGGUUCGCCUCAAGCACCCACACGCCCAUCAGUCUGGGCACGGCCAAAGCAAUGCCGUAACCUGCGUGCCCUCGGCCUCUGCCCCUCCUGAGCUCACACCUGACCUGCCCCACCUGUUAGGCAAGGUGUGUAUGUCCCAAGAGACCCACAGUCUCCCCCGGGACUUCUCUGCCUCUUCCUGUAUGGUCUCACUCCCAGCCCAUUCCUUCCAGAGACGAAAUCUUGGACUUGACCACCGCCACCAUUAGACCUAUGCAGGUGGAGCUCCUUCCAGGGCUUUGCCUCCCGUGGUUCGGUUCAACAAAUACUUCCUGAGCAUAUCCUCUGGGUAAGGCACCUGCACUAUAAAGGACAGCAAGGCCUGGUUGCUACCAUCAGCCCACAAGGCUUCCAACAGCCUCACCCUACAUUUCAUGGAGAGGAGGAGCCCUGCAGUAUCCCAAGGUUCCUGGGACAACUGUCACACAGUGCACACCAGGCUGGAAUCAGGAGAAAGUGACUUCACAACAGUGUCUCCUGGACAUGGAGAAGAGAACCUGGGUUCAAGUCCUAGUUCUGAUACAUUCCAAUGGAUCUCAGCUCCGACAAGCCACACCUCCUCGCUGGGCCUCCCAGGAAACGCUGCUAUCCAGCAGGGAGGGCAAAAGUCAAGGAAGGAAGCUGACUGGGUGGGGUAAACAAAGUCCUAGUGUGCACGAGGCUUCCAGGGAGGGGUGGGGACUGUGGAAAUGAUUAGAUGUAAGCCGCAGUAGCCAGCACUUUUUUUUUUUUUUUAAACAGGCAGAGUGGACAGUGAGAGAGAGAGACAGAGAAAAAGGUCUUCCUUUGCCGUUGGUUCACCCUCCAAUGGCCGCCAAGGCCGGCGCACCGCGCUGAUCCGAUGGCAGGAGCCGGGAGCCAGGAGCGAGGUGCUUUUCCUGGUCUCCCAUGGGGUGCAGGGCCCAAGCACCUGGGCCAUCCUCCACUGCACUCCCUGGCCACAGCAGAGGGCUGGCCUGGAAGAGGGGCAACCGGGACAGAAUCCGGCGCCCCAACCGGGACUAGAACCCGGUGUGCCGGCGGCGCUAGGCGGAGGAUUAGCCUAGUGAGCCGCGGCGCCGGUCCAGUAGCCAGCACUUCUACUCGUCUACAGCCGCUCAACUCAACCAGCCCUGUGUUGCCAGGUCUUUUGGACAUGAGAGCCCUAGAAUACAGAUUUUUAUGUGAAGUUUCUUUUGAUCAUGAGCUCAAGGUUUUGUAACGUCGGGAGCCCUUUCUGAGUAGCUGCUUGGAGCCGGUUUUACAUCUGCUGUUGACCUUAGGAGCAUGCUCAGUUGUGCUGCUGUCCGGGAACUUCCAGAGCUGCUUCCCCAACCCUCCCCGCAGUCCCCUGACUAUCCCUGGAACUUUAUCUGGGAGACACUCAGCCUCUGAGGCUUUGUUCCAGAUCUGGGAAGUGAGCAGCUCAUCCUGAGGGAGACAAACUUGACGGAGUAGGGAUUUGUCCCACGGGGCCAGAGCUCCCCCAGAGCUGAUGUGUUGCGCUUGGCAUCAGCCAAGGCAAACUGGAUGCUGACCUCUCAGCUCCUGGAUCAGUCUCACCUUUGGCCAGUCUUUGGCCAGGCCCCAGCGAGUCUCCUCCUAUGCACAGCAUGUUGUUUAGGUCCAGGGCGCACCCCUGCUCCUGAUCCAAAUGCGAAGAUUCCUGGAGCGUGAGCUUCCUCCCCAUCCGCUGUCCUCCUUCCUGGGUGCUGGGGCUCUCGGUCUUUCCCUUCUCUGUGUCUCACCUACUGCUGCUCCUGCCCGGACCACUGUCGCUGGUGCUUUAAGGAAUUGAGCUCACCACCUGGAAACCAACCAGCUGUGGUGUGCUGUGGCCUGUGUGAGCAGUCACAGUCCCUCAGUCCCUCUCCUACUUGAUUUCAGAGGUUUCAAAAGGGUUUGGGACAUAAUCCCCAAUCCCAAACAUAAUCACAAUCCCGAAUGUCAUAAAACUGAAUGCUGAAAUCUUGAAAGUUCUGUCUCAAAAGCUGAAAAUACCAAAGGAUUAAAAUCUGGAAACAGGGCAUACAUUUGACUUAGUAGUUAAGACACUGGUUAAGAUACCCCUGGCCCAUAUUGGAGUACCUGGGCUCAAGCACUGGCUCCAGCUCCUGGCUCCAGCUCCUGACUCCAACUCCUUGCUAAUGCACACUCUGGGAGGAAACAGGUGAUAGCUCAAGUAGCUGGCGGCUCUCUAGGACUCAGAUGGGAGACCUGGAUUGAAUUUCUAGCUCUGUGUUUCAGCCCCAACAGAGGUAUUUCAGAGAUGGGGAGUGAACCAACAGGUGGGACCUCCCUCUCUUUCCCUCUGUCCUCUCUCUUUCUGCCUCUCAAAUUACUUUUCAAAAUCUGGAAAUUUAAUAAAUAGAACUCUUGAAAAAACAAUUUUAAAAAUUCUUUAAAAGACUUUCAUUUACAUUUUUCAAAGGGGAAACAUUCAAAUUUGGGAAACAUGUAAAACAGGAUACUUCCUAGGCUACAUUAAACAACAAAACAAACAAUCACAACACCUAUAUUUUCACAAGCAUAAACACCCAGGUUGAAUGGUGACAGUCCCACGGAUGCAACAGUCAGACUCAGACAACCCCUAUUCAUAAAGAAAUAGGUCAAAAAGUAAAAUGGAUAAAUGUCUGUGCCGAAGGAUGGUAACCUUGUGCACCCAGCUUUGUCAUCCGAAACACCACAGUCUUUCUGACGAGUUUGCUCAAAGACCACCAAGGUCACUAUCAUCCGCAGAUGUCCAGAGAGCCAAGAUGUCGAGAAAUUUUACCUUUCACAGAGGCAGAUGCGCAAAAAAGGCAUCUCUUCACUGACGGAGGAAGUAAUGACAUUCUUAUGUGCAGGCACGAUGCUGAUGCACAAAGUCCACGUGGUGAGAGCGUACCACCAUGGAGUCGAAUUUGCAACAAAUUCAUAAAAUUAGAACUCUCUAAAAGUUUGUGCGUCACUAUAAAUUGGCAAUGAUGUGAGGAGGAAAGAUAAAGAGGCAAACUGCAAAAAUUAACACCAAUGGCUUUACAUAGUGUGGGGAAAAAAAUGGAAUGAAAAUUUGACAUAUGGAAAAAAUUGUGCCGUAGGUAUUGACGAUGGGCAGUCGCACAGGAGCGGUCUGUGGGAGCUGGUGGCUUUCAUGAUUGUUAACCGUACUUUCCAGUCCUGGAGGGUGAUGAAUAGCUGUGCUUUUUCUUUUGAGGGUGUGGCUCUCCUUGGGAAACACAC